AUUGACCGCUAGCGGGAUGCCUUACACAUGCCAGUCGAACGGAGUGGCGAAUGGGUGAGUAAUGUAUCGGGACGUGCACAGUAGCGGGGGAUAACUCCGCGAAAGCGUCGCUAAUACCGCAUACUAUUGGAGCGGCCAAUAUCGGAAUAGCUGGGUGGUGGAGUAAGGGCCUAACAAGGCGACGAACCGUAGCUGGUUUGCGAGGACGACCAGCCAGCCGGGGACUGGGACAGGGCCCGUACGCCGCCGGGAGGCAGCAGUGGGGAAUUUUGGACAAUGGGGUAAACCCUGACCCAGCCAUCCCGCGUGUGGCAUGAAGGCCUGCUGGUUGUAAAGCACUUUUGGCAGGAAAGCGGUAUCUGCAGAAUAAGCACCGGCUAACUACGUGCCAGCAGCCGCGGUAAUAC
rnacentral:rRNA from 1 species